AUGUUUCCAGCCUGGGGUUUGCUUGCUCUCGCUCCAGGGCAGCCCAGGACUCAGGGAGGUCCUCAGCACCUGAAAAGAGCACCCAGCCCCUGGCAUCACACAGUGCAACAGUCAUUAGUUGCCCACUGCCCUCUCUUUGGUCAAGCCUGGGUCUCACCUCAUGCCUUCAGCUACAGCUCGGACUUCAGGGUGCACAAGAUCUGCCCGCUGACACCCAGCAAUCUUUCCCCACCUUUUGCUCUAAGGAGCCUACCCGGGAACUUGGCACUCUUCACCCUGCACAAGUGAGGGUCCUGGCCUGGAGGAUGCUCACCUGUAAUGAAGUGGCACAACCCAGGAGGGGAGGUUGGCCCCUUCAGCCUCUCUCCCUCCCUUCCCAGCAGUUUUGGCUCCACUGCUCACCACAGGUCCCCUGAUGCAACACGUGCUUGCAGACGAUCACUGACAGAGUGCAGAGCCCGUCACCUGCGCUUCUCACAGCUGCUCUCUUGCACCUUACUGAUCCGAGGGACAAGCCUAGCUUACCUUGCCCUUUGUGUUUCCCAAAUUCUGCAGAGACAGAGUGAUAGCCUACAGCCAGCACACGUGUUUCCAUCCUGAGCAAAUGGGUUGCUCAGACCACGUGAGUUCCCUGUGCGUGUUGAAUUGUUCACCCCUGGGCACGCAUUUUGUCUGAUCUUUGUGUUCUCCUAUUAGUGUCGUUUCCUCUUCCUUUCUUUCAUCAGUCUCCAUUUUUUUCAGAUCUUUAUCUUCUUGCCAGGACUUGUCACAGCCUCAGAUAUUGCUGUAUUGGUGUAGUUUAUCCAGAUCUUCAGCUCCUUUUUUGUUUUAUUUUCCUGUUCUCCUGCGCCUUAGAGUGGAGAGUUUGUCUCUCAGAUUUCAUUUGGAAUGUAUUUUCAGCCUUAGACAACUCCUUCUGCAACUUUAGACACACAUUUAGAUAUGCACAAUUUCUCAUUUCCAUGUUAACACUGCAUCAGUCAGUGAAGCUUUUUGCCUGCAUAGUUAUUCCAGCAAAGACAACUUCUCCCCGUUUUUGCUGCUACCUC
rnacentral:lncRNA from 1 species